GAUGAACGCUGGCGGCGUGCCUAAUACAUGCAAGUCGAGCGAACAGAUGAGAAGCUUACUUCUCUGAUGUUAGCGGCGGACGGGUGAGUAACACGUGGGUAACCUACCUAUAAGACUGGGAUAACUCCGGGAAACCGGGGCUAAUACCGGAUAAUAUUUUGAACCGCAUGGUUCAAUAGUGAAUGACGGUUUCGGCUGUCACUUAUAGAUGGACCCGCGCCGUAUUAGCUAGUUGGUAAGGUAACGGCUUACCAAGGCGACGAUACGUAGCCGACCUGGGAGGGUGAUCGGCCACACUGGAACUGAGACACGGUCCAGACUCCUACGGGAGGCAGCAGUAGGGAAUCUUCCGCAAUGGGCGAAAGCCUGACGGAGCAACGCCGCGUGAGUGAUGAAGGUCUUCGGAUCGUAAAACUCUGCUGUUAGGGAAGAACAAAUUUGUUAGUAACUGAACAAGUCUUGACGGUACCUAACCAGAAAGCCACGGCUAACUACGUGCCAGCCGCCGCUGUAA
rnacentral:rRNA from 1 species